rnacentral:rRNA from 1 species
UGUGCGAAGAAGGCCUUCGGGUUGUAAAGCACUUUUGUCAGGGAAGAAAUCCUUUGGGCUAAUACCCUAGGGGGAUGACGGUACCUGAAGAAUAAGCACCGGCUAACUACGUGCCAGCAGCCGCGGUAAUACGUAGGGUGCAAGCGUUAAUCGGAAUUACUGGGCGUAAAGCGUGCGCAGGCGGUUGUGUAAGACAGGUGUGAAAUCCCCGGGCUUAACCUGGGAAUUGCAUUUGUGACCGCACGACUAGAGUGUGUCAGAGGGGGGUGGAAUUCCACGUGUAGCAGUGAAAUGCGUAGAUAUGUGGAGGAACACCAAUGGCGAAGGCAGCCCCCUGGGAUAACACUGACGCUCAUGCACGAAAGCGUGGGGAGCAAACAGGAUUAGAUACCCUGGUAGUCCACGCCCUAAACGA